AAUUUGGGAGCAGAGCGGGUAGUCCCCACUCUCCUGUCUGAUCCCUCCCUCUCCUCCCCGAGUUCCACCGCCCCAGGCGCACAGGUUUCCGCCAGAUGUCUUUUCUUCCUCGCAGUCUUUGCCCAAGCGUUUCCGAGAGCCAGUCCUGGACUGACCGCCUUGGAUGGGAUACCGGGGGAGGGCAGAAGGACACUUGGCUUCCUCUCCAGGAAUCUGAGCGGCCCUGAGGUCCGGGGGCGCAGGGAAUCCCCUCUGCCGCCGCCGCCGCCGUGUCUGGUCUGUACGUCUUUAGAGGGUCGAGGAAGUCACGUCGGGACAGACUGGGGCGAGUAAGGUUAAGAAAGGCUGACAUGUUUUAUGUUUUAGUGACGACGCUUAAUAGGCUGUAUAUCUGCUCUAUAUGCAGCACAUACAUACAUAGCUUUUUAAAAAACUCUUAUUUUGUGGAAUGAAAUAGCUACCCUCAGUGUACAUAGCUGUAAUUUAUCUUUGUAGCUAAGUUGCUUUCAACAGAAGAAAUACUGUUCUCCGUACCUUCACCCCCUCCUUAUUUCUUGGAAAGGGGGGGAAAAAGGUAAAUUCUCCUCAUAAUACUGCUUCUAAGCAGUUACCCUGUAAAUAGUUAAUGUGAGCUCCACGGGUCACCGAUAUAAAGUUUUCUGCCUUCUGAUGGACAAAGGAAACGGCGAUGGCCAGAAUUUGCAGGGACGCUAAAUGUCCAAAACGUCUGCCUUAAAGCAUUCCUCUCCCUGAUGCGUGGAUUAUUUUGGUUACUAGCCCUUCACAGGAGACACCGGCAAAAUAAAUUCGAAUUUUAAAGUUCA
rnacentral:lncRNA from 1 species